rnacentral:lncRNA from 1 species
UCGCAACUUUCUUCAAUUAUAGUAUGCAAAAACAAAAUAAUAUGAAGUGUUUCGGUUAAUAGCAAGAUUACUUUGUGUAUUCUCUGUUGUCAAGUUACGGGUAUCCUACCGGGAGAUCAAAAAUGCCUUUUUACCCAUUAAGGAUUAUUUACUAAGGAAGACCGAAAACUUUUCUUAUGCAAUUGCUUUAAAGAAUAUACAUAUAAGGAUAUUUACCACAUUUUCAAUCUGGGAUACGAUAGGGAAAAGGUAUAGAAGAAGUUUUCAUCUAUGGGCUUCCGGCUCGUUUCGUUCAUUAUCUACGAACUACGAUCAUCAUCAAUCAUCAUUUUGUCUUCGCUUUUGGAAAGGAAGGCAUGUCACCAUUUUUGCGGUUCAUAAAUAGAAACGACACCUGAAGACUUGCUUUGAGAUGAUAUGCUUGGAUUCAAUGGACAAACUACUUGUAGCAACCAGACAUGUUUUUAUUUCCAAGAAUGGUUGUAAUGAGCUGGUCAAAAAAUUCAUGGGACACAGGGUGCUAACAAUGGUUUAUAUUAAAACAUAAUAAAUGUACAUGGAGAAGGUAAAUCAAAGGGGAAAUGUGGAGAAGCAAGGUCUCCAAUCAUGAUUCUUUCGCGUGGUUACGGAAAUGGGUCGUUUGUAGAAAGAGUAAGGGAUGCCAUUUAAACAUAUUAAAUGAAGAAGCAGACAAAAAGUAAAAAGGAUUCAAAACCUGGAGAAUUGGAGCCCCUUCAAUGUUCCCGUCCUUUGGCUGUGAAAGGUGCGAUUUUUAGAAAAUAUAUGCAGAGACACUUCUCUUUAUCAACGCUUUGGAAUAAAUCUGGAGUACCGUAGAGUAAUCUUCCAGAUCGUCUGACAAAUGGGAGAGAAUUAAAGUUCGGGUUGAUGGUACUGAAACAAUAUCUACAAUGGUGCUGCCUUUGGUGAACUACAAUCUUGAUUAGCUGUUUUCGUCUUCACCUUGUAACAUUAUGCAGUUAAUUUUCAAGGGAUGAGUGAGAGCAACUGGAGAUUUGCGAA